AAAGUGAUGUAACGGUCCCGUUUGUGCCAAUCGAGUUGCAACAGGUAUAGUAUUUUACUUGUCUACAAGAAGGCAGUCUGAACCAUUAUAAACAGGAGACAAGGACCACAUUUGUUGUAAACAAAAAUGAUAAACCGUCUGCACAGAAGGAUCUCGUAUCAUGAAAAAACUUGCAUUGGGAACUAAAAUAUGUUCCCCAUGACGGAACCCCCUUCCUGGUGGUCGGGAGGAAAACCUACGCCUGCCACCAGGGCGAGGAUAAACAUGCGAGUGAUAAGAAGAGGGAAGCAGAAAUGUGUCUGGACUGUGCCUACCUGAAGCCUACCUGGACUGUGGCUGAGGACCCUGGGCAUGCCUACCCAUAGCCCCUCCCCACACUCCCUAGCAUGCUUGUACCUAAGCUAAAUACUGAGUAUUCCAUCUCACCCUCUUCCUCUCCUCUUCUGUCCUCUCCUCCCCUAAGCCCAGUCCUGGGCACAAACUAUUUUAUAUUGAAUUUAUAUUGAGCAUGCUUUUUUGUCCAGGACUAGGUGUAAUCUGAGUCUGGGAAACCAGCCCAUACUCUAGACAAUGAGAUUAUUCCAGAAUACUAUCAAAAUAAAGAUUGUUUUCUAUGAUU